rnacentral:rRNA from 1 species
UACGAAGGGGGCUAGCGUUGUUCGGAAUUACUGGGCGUAAAGCGUAUGCAGGCGGAUCGUUAAGUCGGGGGUGAAAUCCCGAGGCUCAACCUCGGAACUGCCUUCGAUACUGGCGAUCUUGAGUCCGGGAGAGGUGAGUGGAACUCCGAGUGUAGAGGUGAAAUUCGUAGAUAUUCGGAAGAACACCAGUGGCGAAGGCGAGUCCCUGGACAACUCCUGACACUGAGGCACGAAAGCUAGGGGAGCAAACAGG